UUGCGAGUCUGAGAAGUGAAGAGUGAGAGAUGUCGGCGAGCGGCGGACGGCUGAGUAACGCGUGGGAACGUGCCCCAAAGUGAGGGAUAAGCACCGGAAACGGUGUCUAAUACCGCAUAUGAUCUUCGGAUUAAAGUAUUUAUACGCUUUGGGAGCGGCCCGCGUCGGAUUAGGUUGUUGGUAGGGUAACGGCCUACCAAGCCCACGAUCCGUAGCUGGUCUGAGAGGAUGACCAGCCAGACUGGAACUGAGACACGGUCCAGACUCCUACGGGAGGCAGCAGUGAGGAAUCUUCCACAAUGGGGGCAACCCUGAUGGAGCAACGCCGCGUGCAGGAUGAAGGCCUUCGGGUCGUAAACUGCUUUUAUAAGUGAGGAAUAUGACGGUAACUUAUGAAUAAGGAUCGGCUAACUACGUGCCAGCAGCCGCGGUCAUACGUAGGAUCCGAGCGUUAUCCGGAGUGACUGGGCGUAAAGAGUUGCGUAGGUGGUCGUAUAAGCGAAUAGUGAAAUCUGGUGGCUCAACCAUACAGGCUAUUAUUCGAACUGUACGACUCGAGAAUGGUAGAGGUAACUGGAAUUUCUAGUGUAGGAGUGAAAUCCGUAGAUAUUAGAAGGAACACCAAUGGCGUAGGCAGGUUACUGGACCAUUUCUGACACUGAGGCACGAAAGCGUGGGGAGCGAACCGGAUUAGAUACCCGGGUAGUCCACGCCGUAAACUAUGGAUACUAGCUGUUGGAGGUAUCGACCCCUCCAGUAGCGAAGCUAACGCGUUAAGUAUCCCGCCUGUGGAGUACGGUCGCAAGACUAAAACAUAAAGGAAUUGACGGGGACCCGCACAAGCGGUGGAUCGUGUUCCUUAAUUCGAUGAUAAACGAAGAACCUUACCAGGGCUUGACAUCCAGGGAAGGACUGCGAAAGUAGUCUGUGCCUUUUGGAACCCUGUGACAGGUGAUGCAUGGCCGUCGUCAGCUCGUGUCGUGAGAUGUUUGGGUUAAGUCCAUCAACGAGCGCAACCCCUGUACUUAGUUGUAUUUUUCUAGGUAGACUGCCCCGGUAACGGGGAGGAAGGAGGGGAUGAUGUCAGGUCAGUAUUUCCCUUACGUCCUGGGCUAGAAACACGAUACAAUGGCUAAUACAAUGCGCAGCAAAGCCGCGAGGUGGAGCAAAUCGCAUCAAAGUUAGUCCCAGUUCGGAUUGGAGGCUGAAACUCGCCUCCAUGAAGUCGGAAUCGCUAGUAAUCGCA
rnacentral:rRNA from 1 species